rnacentral:tRNA from 1 species
GUGGAUGUGGUUCAGUAGCAGAGCUCUUGCUUAGUAAGCAUAAGUCCCUGGGUUCUAUCCCCAGCAUUGCA